AUUGAACGCUGGCGGCAUGCUUUACACAUGCAAGUCGAACGGUAACAGGCCGCAAGGUGCUGACGAGUGGCGAACGGGUGAGUAAUGCAUCGGAACGUGCCCAGUCGUGGGGGAUAACGCAGCGAAAGCUGCGCUAAUACCGCAUACGAUCUAUGGAUGAAAGCGGGGGACCGUAAGGCCUCGCGCGAUUGGAGCGGCCGAUGUCAGAUUAGGUGGUUGGUGGGGCAAAGGCUCACCAAGCCAACGAUCUGUAGCUGGUCUGAGCGGACGACCAACCACACUGGGACUCAGAGACGGCGCAGACUGCGGCGGGAGGCAGCAGUGGGGAAGUUUGGACAAUAGGCGCAAGCCUUAUCCAGCAAUGCCGCGUGCAGGAAGAAGGCCUUCGGGUUGUAAACUGCUUUUGUACGGAACGAAACGGUCCUGGUUAAUACCUGGGGCUAAUGACGGUACCGUAAGAAUAAGCACCGGCUAACUACGUGCCAGCCGCCGCCGUAACAC
rnacentral:rRNA from 1 species